rnacentral:tRNA from 1 species
CUAGUGGUGUCACGUUGGACUACUAAGCCAGAGAUUGCGGGUUCAAGCCCGGCCU